rnacentral:rRNA from 1 species
UACGAGGGGGGCAAGCGUUGUUCGGAAUUAUUGGGCGUAAAGGGCGCGUAGGCGGUGCGGUAAGUCACCUGUGAAAUCUCUGGGCUCAACUCAGAGUCUGCAGGCGAAACUGCCGUGCUGGAGUAUGGGAGAGGUGCGUGGAAUUCCCGGUGUAGUGGUGGAAUGCGUAGAGAUCGGGAGGAACACCAGUGGCGAAAGCGGCUCUCUGGUCCAAAACUGACGCUGAGGGGCGAAAGCGUGGGGAGCGAACGGG